rnacentral:rRNA from 1 species
UACGGGGGGGGGGCAAGCGUUGUUCGGAAUUACUGGGCGUAAAGGGCUCGUAGGCGGCCAACUAAGUCAGGGGGGAAAUCCCGGGGCUCAACCCCGGAACUGCCCUUGAUACUGAUAGUCUCGAGUCCGGAAGAGGUGAGUGGAAUUCCGAGUGUAGAGGUGAAAUUCGUAGAUAUUCGGAGGAACACCAGUGGCGAAGGCGGCUCACUGGUCCGGUACUGACGCUGAGGUGCGAAAGCGUGGGGAGCAAACAGG